AGGAGGGUGAUGGGAGGUGGGGGCUCAGUGGAAGGGGGUCUGACAGGCCCAGGGGGACAAAGGCCUGUCCACUGUCAUUCAGCAAGGCAGGCCUCUGAACCUACAUUUCACAGGCAGUGAAAGGGCAACGAGAAAGACUUGGGUUACACAACAAGAAAAACUUCCCUUUGGGGUCUGUGGAGAAGGAGGCUGUCCUUGCAAAGUUGAAAAGCCACAGAGGAAGGGGCAGUGGCUCUCAGAGUCCUCCUGGGGCAGAUGAGGCCAUCCUCCUCCCUUACUCUACCACCCUGCCCAGCCGGUUUCCUGCCCAACCCAAGUGCCCAUUGACAGAUGAGUGGAUAAACAAAAUGUGAUAUUCACAUAAAAUGGAAUAUCACUCAGCCUCAAAAAGUGAGGAAAUUCUAACACAUGCUACAACGUUAUACUGAUGAAAUAAGACACAAAUACUGUAUGUACGAUUCCACUCACGCAAGAUGCCUAGAUAAUAUGGUUUGAAUAUUAAAACUCCCAAACUUAUGUUGAAAUUUAAUCCCCAAUGGGGCCAUAUUGGGAGAUAGCGCCUUUAAGAAGUGCACCCUCAUGAAUGGUUAAUCCAUUCGUGGAUUAUUGAGUUAAUGGAUUAAUAGGUUAUCACGGGAGUGGAACGGGAAGAAGAAGGACCUGAGCUAGCACACACAGCCCCUCACCAUGCAACGCCCUGCGCGGCCUCAGGACUCUGCAGAGAGUCCCCACUAGCAAGAAGGCCCUCACCAGGUGCACCCCAUCAACCUGGGACUGCCCAGCCUCCAGAACUAUGCUAACCCAAGGCUUGGCACACCGGAUCAGUUAGUGCAUUCGUUCAACCCCUACUUAUUGAGCGCCUACUAUGUGCCAGGGCAUGUGCUGGACAUGGAGGAUGUCUUGACAAGCAAUUCAGACAAGGCCCGGACCAUGAUACAGCUGACAGUCUGAUGGAGGAGGCGGAUAACGAGCAAAUGAUUACCCAAAUUAAUGCUUAAUUAGAAAUCAUUAUGUGUGCUCUAGAGGAAAAUAACAUUGCAAGACAGCAAUGGGGUGGGGGUGGGGAAACAAACUGAGUAAUCAGCAUGGGCUUCUGGAGGAAGUGACAUUUAUGCUGAGAUGUAAAGGAAGGAAAGGAGCUGGCAGGUGAGAAGGGGUGAAGAGCAUUCCAGGAAGAGGGAACAGAAUGCGUGGUGGCCCAGAGUAGAUGCACGUUUGACCGAGCUGGUGAUCACCAGAGCCUGCAGGUGGACAGCAGAGCAGGGGACUCAGCUGCAAGCCUCU